rnacentral:rRNA from 1 species
GAACGAUGACCCCCAGCUUGCUGGGGUGAUUAGUGGCGAACGGGUGAGUAACACGUGAGUAACCUGCCCCCGACUCUGGGAUAAGCCCGGGAAACUGGGUCUAAUACUGGAUAUGACCUUUGACCGCAUGGUCUUUGGUGGAAAGAUUUAUCGGUUGGGGAUGGACUCGCGGCCUAUCAGCUUGUUGGUGAGGUAAUGGCUCACCAAGGCGACGACGGGUAGCCGGCCUGAGAGGGUGACCGGCCACACUGGGACUGAGACACGGCCCAGACUCCUACGGGAGGCAGCAGUGGGGAAUAUUGCACAAUGGGCGAAAGCCUGAUGCAGCGACGCCGCGUGAGGGAUGACGGCCUUCGGGUUGUAAACCUCUUUCAGUAGGGAAGAAGCGAAAGUGACGGUACCUGCAGAAGAAGCGCCGGCUAACUACGUGCCAGCAGCCGCGGUAAUACGUAGGGCGCAAGCGUUAUCCGGAUUUAUUGGGCGUAAAGAGCUCGUAGGCGGUUUGUCGCGUCUGCCGUGAAAGUCCGAGGCUCAACCUCGGAUCUGCGGUGGGUACGGGCAGACUAGAGUGAUGUAGGGGAGACUGGAAUUCCUGGUGUAACGGUGAAAUG